AACUUUUAACAACGGAUCUCUUGGCUCUCGCAUCGAUGAAGAACGCAGCGAAAUGCGAUAAGUAAUGUGAAUUGCAGAAUUCAGUGAAUCAUCGAAUCUUUGAACGCAAAUUGCGCUCCUUGGUAUUCCGAGGAGCAUGCCUGUUUGAGUGUC
rnacentral:rRNA from 1 species